GCAAACGGCUCAGUAACACGUGGGUAACCUACCCUCAGGACAGGGAUAACCCCGGAAAACUGGGGAUAAAUACCUGAUAAGUGGAUAUGUCUGGAAUGGCUUUCCGCUAAAAUGCUCCGGCGCCUGAGGAUGGGCUGCGACCGAUUAGGUUGUUGGCGGUGUAAUGGACCACCAAGCCUAUAACCGGUACGGGCCGUGAGAGCGGUAGCCCGGAGAUGGGUACUGAGACAAGGACCCAGGCCCUACGGGGCGCAGCAGUCGCGAAAACUCCGCAAUGCACGAAAGUGUGACGGGGCUACCCCGAGUGCCUUCCGCUGAGGUUGGCUUUUCUUUGGUAUAACUAGCCAGGGGAAUAAGGAGAGGGCAAGACUGGUGUCUGCCGCCGCGGUAAUACCAGCUCUCCGAGUGGUAGGGAUGAUUAUUGGGCUUAAGGCGUCCGUAGCCGGCUCAGCAAGUUUCCUGUUAAAUUCAGCGACCUAAUCGUUGACCCGCGGGAAAUACUACUAAGCUAGGAGGCGGGAGAGGUCGACGGUACUUCUGGGGUAGGGGUGAAAUCCUAUAAUCCCGGGAGGACCACCAGUGGCGAAGGCUGUCGACUAGAACGCGCUCGACGGUGAGGGACGAAAGCUGGGGGAGCGAACCGGAUUAGAUACCCGGGUAGUCCCAGCCGUAAACGAUGCGAGCUAGGUGUUGGGAUGGCUACGUGCCAUUUCAGUGCCGCAGGGAAGCCAUUAAGCUCGCCGCCUGGGGAGUACGGCCGCAAGGCUGAAACUUAAAGGAAUUGGCGGGGGAGCACCACAAGGCGUGAAGCUUGCGGUUC
rnacentral:rRNA from 1 species